rnacentral:rRNA from 1 species
GACGAACGCUGGCGGCGUGCUUAACACAUGCAAGUCGAACGGAAAGGCCCCCACUUUUUUGGUGGGGGUGCUCGAGUGGCGAACGGGUGAGUAACACGUGGGUGAUCUGCCCUGUACUUCGGGAUAAGCUUGGGAAACUGGGUCUAAUACCGGAUAGGACCAUGGUUUAGUGUCUCAUGGUGGAAAAAUUAUUGUUUUGGUGCAGGAUGAGCUCGCGGCCUAUCAGCUUGUUGGUGGGGUAAUGGCCUACCAAGGCGUCGACGGGUAGCCGGCCUGAGAGGGUGGACGGCCACAUUGGGACUGGGAUACGGCCCAGACUCCUACGGGUGGCAGCAGUGGGGAAUAUUGCACAAUGGGCGCAAGCCUGAUGCAGCGAAGCCGCGUGGGGGAUGACGGCCUUCGGGUUGUAAACUCCUUUCGUUAGGGACGAAGCCGCACCUUUUUGGGGUGUGGUGACGGUACCUUUGUUAAGAAGCACCGGCUAACUACGUG